UGGCUCAGUGGUUAAGAGCACUGGCUGUUCUCUUCCAGAGGACCUGGGUUCAAUUCCCAG
rnacentral:tRNA from 1 species